AAAACUAGCAUAUCAAUAAGCGGAGGAAAAGAAACUAACAAGGAUUCCCCUAGUAACUGCGAGUGAAGCGGGAUGAGCUCAAAUUUAAAAUCUGGCGGUUCUGCCGUCCGAGUUGUAAUCUGGAGAAGCGUUUUCCGCGUCGGACCGUGUACAAGUCUCUUGGAAUAGAGCGUCAUAGAGGGUGAGAAUCCCGUCCAUGACACGGACUCCCGAUGCUAUGUGAUACGCUCUCAAAGAGUCGAGUUGUUUGGGAAUGCAGCUCAAAAUGGGUGGUAAAUUCCAUCUAAAGCUAAAUAUUGGCGAGAGACCGAUAGCGAACAAGUACCGUGAGGGAAAGAUGAAAAGCACUUUGGAAAGAGAGUUAAACAGUACGUGAAAUUGUUGAAAGGGAAACGCUUGAAGUCAGUCGCGUCGUACGGAGCUCAGCCUUGCUUCUGCUUGGUGUAUUCUCUGCUCGACGGGUCAACAUCGAUUUUGGCCGGUGGAAAAGGGCUCGAGGAAUGUAGCGUUGUUUCGGCGACGUGUUAUAGCCUCGGGUCGUAUGCAUCGGCUGGGAUUGAGGACCGCAGCACGCCUUUUUGGCCGGGGUUCGCCCACGUUCGUGCUUAGGAUGUUGGCAAAAUGGCUUUAAGCGACCCGUCUUGAAACACGGACCAAGGAGUCUAACAUGCCUGCGAGUGUUCGGGUGGAAAACCCUUGCGCGUAAUGAAAGUGAAAGUUGGGAUCCCUCGCAAGGGGGUGCACCGACGCCCGGCCCAGACGUUCUCUGACGGUGCUGCGGUAGAGCAUGUAUGUUGGGACCCGAAAGAUGGUGAACUAUGCCUGAAUAGGGUGAAGCCAGAGGAAACUCUGGUGGAGGCUCGUAGCGAUUCUGACGUGCAAAUCGAUCGUCAAAUUUGGGUAUAGGGGCGAAAGACUAAUCGAACCAUCUAGUAGCUGGUUCCUGCCGA
rnacentral:rRNA from 1 species